GCCUACCAUGGUUUUAACGGGUAACGGGGAAUUAGGGUUCGAUUCCGGAGAGGGAGCCUGAGAAACGGCUACCACAUCCAAGGAAGGCAGCAGGCGCGCAAAUUACCCAAUCCCGACACGGGGAGGUAGUGACAAUAAAUAACAAUACAGGGCUCUUACGGGUCUUGUAAUUGGAAUGAGUACAAUUUAAAUCCCUUAACGAGGAACAAUUGGAGGGCAAGUCUGGUGCCAGCAGCCGCGGUAAUUCCAGCUCCAAUAGCGUAUAUUAAAGUUGUUGCAGUUAAAAAGCUCGUAGUUGAAUUUCGGAGUUCUACCGUCGGUCGGGCUACCAAGUCUGUACUGGUGCGUAGAAUUCCUACCUUCUGGGGAACUAUCAUGUUAUUAAUUUAGCGUGGUAGGAAACCAGGACCUUUACCUUGAAAAAAUUAGAGUGUUCAAAGCAGGCUUAUGUCUGAAUACAUUAGCAUGGAAUAAUAGAAUAGGACGGUGGUCCUGUUUUGUUGGUUUCUGAAUCACCGUAAUGAUUAAUAGGGAUAGUUGGGGGCAUUAGUAUUCAAUUGUCAGAGGUGAAAUUCUUGGAUUUAUUGAAGACUAACUUCUGCGAAAGCAUUUGCCAAGGAUGUUUUCAUUAAUCAAGAACGAAAGUUAGGGGAUCGAAGACGAUCAGAUACCGUCGUAGUCUUAACCAUAAACUAUGCCGACUAGGGAUCGGACGAUGUUAAAUUUUAUUGACUCGUUCGGCGCCUUACG
rnacentral:rRNA from 1 species